GUUUUAAAACUUUGUAAGCGUUGGAUGAUGAUUUUGCAGGAUGAGCACUGAGAACCAGGACUUACUCAUUCUCCCUACGUUUUAAAACGAAUGCAGCUCGCUUUGUGCUCACCAAACCUAAAAAGGCUCAUAGAAUUUCGUGCAAGCAUUAGUUUUCUGCUGGUAUUUACGAUUUCUCUAGAGUUUUUCUCCAAUCUGGAAGACACUAAACCCCCAA
rnacentral:lncRNA from 1 species